GACAGAGGGGGCAAGCGUUGCUCGGAAUCACUGGGCGUAAAGGGCGCGUAGGCGGGAUGGCAAGUCGGUCGUGAAAUCCUUCGGCUCAACCGAAGAACGUCGGCCGAUACUGCCGUUCUUGAGGGAUGCAGAGGAGAUUGGAAUUCCCGGUGUAGCGGUGAAAUGUGUAGAGAUCGGAAGGAACAUCAGUGGCGAAAGCGGCUUCCUGGUCCAGCACCGACGUUCAGGCACGAAAGCGUGGGGAGCAAACAGG
rnacentral:rRNA from 1 species